CUCCCCUCCUUGCCGUGUCAUUUCUUCUUCUCACCUCCUCGUCGUUUUUGGCUGUGGCCCCUUCUCGUCUCCCCGCCAGUCUUGUCGUCACUGCCUCUCUGCUCCGCACCGUGUCUCACUGUCGUCGCUUCUCUGUUUCACGUUACCAAAAUUCCCAAUUUGAAUUUCUCUAUCUCGCUGGCUCUAUGCUGUCUUUUCCUCUACUUCGCUGGCAAUCCAGAUAACGUUCAACCACGGUUCGACCUCGGUUGAACCAUUGAACCAAUGAACCAGUUACUUGACCAGUUUAUUGACCGGUCCGGUUCUCGCAACCUUGGAAAAACCUAACCCUAAACCAUCACUUAUCCCACUCCUCAUCGAAAUCCAAAACCCUACCAAUCAUCACUUUUCCCAAUCAACGCCAAUCCCCUUCUCCAGUAUCCAAACCAUCGCCGUCGCCGGUAUCGCCGAUUCCGCCGGGAAAGUUCCACCGGAUAUCGCGGGAUUCGAGGUUGUGCUGGAGUCGUGGCUUACCGACCGCCGAGGAAGGUGGCGAGGAUCGUUGCUCCUCCAGAGGCCAGCGGGAGCGACAGCCCUCUCGCUUUGGUCAGGACCGUGGAGAGGACACCGCCAGCGAAGGCCUAUGCGUCGCCGGAGUCUUACCUGUCGCCGGCGAUUGGGAAAUUGCCGGGGCAAGAGGUGAGCGGGAGCUGCAAGGAGUUGUCGCCACAGUGUUUUGGCGGCGGCGGAAGGAGGAGCGAGAAGGUAGAUGAGGAGAAGGAGAAUGGCAUGUGGCAUGGCUUGUCUGGAAGGUUUCCUUCGGUUUCUUUGUUCAAUGAGUACCAAAAUGCGGCUAUGGCGAAUAUUUGAUAGCUGAUGAUUUCUCUGCUGAACUAGCUGAUGGACUGGCCUAUGUAGCUGGUCAUGACGAAGAAUCCACACCUGUUUUGAUUUUCCGGAUGAAACAAGACUAUACCAAGUUACAUUCUCAAAAACUGUAGCAAUUUCAACGAUGCCAAAAAAACGUAGAAGAAUUUGUGAUGCUUUUCGACGCAACUUGCACUAAAGGUUUCAACUUUCUUGCCACCCUUUACAAAUUCAGGCUCUACAAAUAUCAGAAAUUGGCUUGGCUUAACAGGAUACCCCUUUCAAUAUCCCUCAUUGCAUUGCUUGCCACACUAAACAAGUUCCUAGGAGGAAUGUCCAAGAUCAGUUUUUUGUGGCCUCAUAUUAUUGUUCCAACCUUUAAAGUUACUGCGGAGGAAUGUUUGCAGAAGAUCCAGAUUGGGGAAUAAAUAUCACUAGUCAGACCUGAAGCUUUCAUGGCCGCUGUCGACAAGGGAGGCUAUAGUGCACGAUUAUUUGUUUGAGUACUAUCAAGAUGACUUGGUCGUUGUUCUUUUGAAUUCGGUUUCUGACUCAAAAAGCAUCACUGGCUUCAACAGUGAUGUAAUUCCUGAUGCCAAGGAUGCGGUGAGAAGUGAUGUGGUUGGAGGCUUCGCUUUGCAGAAGGUGACACCAGAAAGAAGUUACUUUUGAUUGAAGGAAAAAGUAGUUGAGGCACAGUCCAACUUGGAGCGACAAUUGGAGUUAAUAGGGACUCAUCGACAGUUAUUGUUGAAUUCUCUGCAUUUACUGUUUGUAACCGAAUGAAUAUGGGGUAAGGUGGGUUUUGUAACUAGCCUAGUUUAAAAGUGAGUGAGAAAGAGGGAGCAUUCUGUUAUGAGAGAUAGGUGGGAACUAUAAAGGGCUGUGGAAAGUAGUGAGAGGGCAUUGGGAAGAAGAGAGAAAAGAUAUGAUUACCCUCACACUCAAUCUCGGUAAUGCUAUAACUGAAUGGGGUGGUAGGAUUUUGCAGAAUCGUUCUUAGUUGAUGCUUGAGGUUUCUCUCUACCGAUAAUCUUUUUCUUUUUCUUCUUUUUUUUCCUGUAUAAUAUUCUACAUGAAAUAGCUUACGUUGCUCUAUGGCUUAUAUAGAUUAGUUGAGGCACAGUCCAACUUGGAGCUGCAAUUGGAAAUCCCAAUUUUUAUCCUUCGUGUAAAUAACCUUGAUUUUGAACAGGAUCUUAAUUUUGUCUGUGAUUUUUUUCUAAUGAUAUAUGGAAAUCUUAAUUUUAGACUACUUAUCCAAAGUACUUCUGCAGUCUAAUGGUAUAUCUAUUUAGCUUUUUCGUUUCUUUAAUUUCUGUUUGUGUGGUUGACAUCUUUAUUGUGUGUGUAGAAUCUUCAAUUAUUUUUAAUGAUUUUAACUUUUCAGGUAUGUGUGCUGCGUAUACUUGAGUGGGUGCGUGCGAGUCAACAAUUCUCGUAAAAGUGUCUGCGAAAGAACCAUCGGAGUAAGAUGUUUUCACCUUGGAGGGAAGGGAGCUCGCGGACUUGAUGAUUAAAAAAGAGCCUGAAAAGUUCGAUAUUUUUUAUGCCAUGCGGCAAUUAUGCAAUCAUGGCAUAAAUAAAUAUCGAUAUUGAGUUUCGAUAGGCACGUUUAAGAUUAAGGUUAUACGAUUAUUGAGAAUGGAUAAUAAUUAUGAGGAAGUGAAAGAAUACAUGAGGGUGAAUGGAUGUGUUUUUGGAGCUAUAUGGUUGAAGAGAAGGGAUUUAUGAAUUAUGAUGGUAUGACAUGUUACAUUGCUCGUGGAGAAGACUUUGAACCACACGCAGUUCUACUAGUUGGGUUCGACGAAUCUUUCUGGCAUUUCAUGAAUAACCAUGGAUCCGAUUUUGGAGAUAGAUAAAGCUUAUGAACGACAAAAUCCUUCCUUAUCUCCAAAAUCGGAUCCAUGGUUAUUUAUGAAAUGCCAGAAUUUUCCAGAUUCGUCGAGCUCAACUAGUAGAACUGCGUGUGGUUCAAAGUCUAGUCUUCUCCACGAGCAAUGUAACAUGUCAUAUCAUCAUAAUUCAUAAAUUCAUUCUCUUCAACCAUGAUAGCUCCAAAAACACCUCCAUUCACCCUCAUGUAUUCUUUCACUUCCUCAUAAUUAUUAUUCAUUCUCAAUAACCGUAUAGCCUUAAUCUUAAACGUGCCUAUCGGAACUCCAUCUUGGUAUUUAUUUAUGCCAUGAUUGCUUAAUUGCCGCAUGACAUAAAAAAUAUCGAACUUUUCAGUCUCAUUUUUAAUCAUCAAGUCCGCGAGCUCCCUUCCCUCCAAGGUGAAAACAUCUCGCUCCGAUGGUUCUUUCGCACUCUUUUAUGAGAAUUGUUGACUCGCACGCAGCCACUAAAGUAUACGCAGCACACAUACCUGAAAAGUUAAAAUCAUUAAAAAUAAUUAAAGAUUUUACAUACAAAAUAAAAGUGUCAAUCACACAAAUAGAAAUUAAAACAAAAAGCUAAAUAAAUUUACCAUUAGACUGCAGAGGUAUUUUGGAUAAGUGGUCUAAGAUUAAGGUUUUCAUAUCAUUAGAAAAAAAUCACGGACAAAAUUAACAACAGCCUGUUCAAACAUAAUCAAGAUUAUUUAUACGAAGGAUAAAAAUUGGGAUUUCCAAUUGCCGCUCCAAGUUAGACUGUGUCUUAACUAAGAACGAUUCUAUAAAAUCUUACCAUCCCAUUCAGCUAUAGCAUUAUAGAGAUUGAAUGUGAAGGUAAUCCUAUCUUUUCUCUUUUUCGCAUGCCCCUGACUACUUCCCACAGCCCUUUAUAGUUCCCACUUUCCACUUAUCUCUUGUAACAGAAGGUUCCUCUCUCUCACUCACUUUCCAACUAGGCAAGAUAGUUACAAAACCCACCUUACCCCAUAUUCACUCAACUACAAUUACGUCCCUAAUUUCCAUUUUACCCACUUGAGCAAUAUAGAUUGCAACCUAGUCGUUGUAGCCCUCUUUGAUGAGAAUUUCAAGAGGUAUGCAUCACGGUUUUCCCAAAAUAAGCUUUGAAUCUUGACUAACUGCUUAUUUGGUUCAUUCCAAAUUGCUUCUACAAUACCUCACUAUUAGAUCAGAUGUAGAAUUCCAACUAGGCUAGUUACAAAACCAACCUUAUCCCAUUUUCACUCACUUACAAAUAGUAGAUGCAGACAAUUCAACAAUACUUGGUCGAUACCGACUUCUGUGGGUUAGUUAUUUU